GAAGUCGGAAUUGCUAGUAAUCGCGGAUCAGCAUGCCGCGGUGAAUACGUUCCCGGGCCUUGUACACACCGCCCGUCACACCAUGAGAGCCGGUAAUACCCGAAGUCAGUAGUCUAACCGCAAGGAGGACGCUGCCGAAGGUAGGAUUGGCGAUUGGGGUGAAGUCGUAACAAGGUAUC
rnacentral:rRNA from 1 species